CGAAGGGGGCGAGCGUUGUUCGGAAUUACUGGGCGUAAAGGGCGCGUAGGCGGCCGAUCAAGUCAGAUGUGAAAGUCCUGGGCUUAACCUGGGGACUGCAUUUGAUACUGAUUGGCUUGAAUGCAGGAGAGGAUAGCGGAAUUCCCAGUGUAGAGGUGAAAUUCGUAGAUAUUGGGAAGAACACCGGUGGCGAAGGCGGCUAUCUGGACUGUAAUUGACGCUGAGGCGCGAAAGCGUGGGGAGCAAACAGGAUUAGAUACCCUGGUAGUCCACGCCGUAACGAUGAAUGCUAGACGCUGGGGAGCAUGCUCUUCGGUGUCGCAGCUAACGCAUUAAGCAUUCCGCCUGGGGAGUACGGUCGCAAGAUUA
rnacentral:rRNA from 1 species